rnacentral:tRNA from 1 species
GCCUCGGUAGUGUAGUGGUCAGCACGCUAGCCUGUCACGCUGGAAACCCGGGUUCGAAUCCCGACCGAGGCG